GGAGAGGCUAUUGCUUAAGUUUAUUUUUAUUUAGCCUACCACAAUUUGUCAUGUACAUUUAUUUAUUUAGUAGUAGUUGUAGGCCAUAGUGCAACUCUUGACACUCAUGGGAAGUUAAAGGCAGGGAUAAGUUCAUGCGUGAACGCGUGCGUUUUGGGGGAAAAUGAGGGCGUUGAGAUUCUUGAGCGCGUUUCACUCUCUUUGGUGAGUGGAACAGGUAGAGCGAGCUGACGCGCUUCCGGUCGCAGGUGAGAGAGAAGCCGUCAUGAACGCGCGCGUCAAAUAAAACUUCCUCACGCUGUGCGCUUGGACGCGGAGGUCUUGAUCGUUUGGGAUUCAAAAUAACAACAGCCGCGGGUCCUCCGCGGUUAACACGGCAGUUUCUCAGGUUAAAGUUACCUUCCAAAAUGUAAAAGGAUGACCACUGUGUAGUCACUAAUUACCAGCAUCAUGAGUUCAUUGAGCACAUUGGGCCUGUGCAUGCCAGUGAUGUUCUUUCUGGCUCUGGUCCUGGUUCUGUUCUCGUGCGUCCUCCGUAAGAAGCGGAAGAUGGAGGGAUCAUACCAGCCCAGCUCGGAAGAGCGGAAACAAGCCAAGAACAACGGAGCCGAGAGACCCGGUCUCACUCUUCCACUGCCCAAAGAGGAGAGACUGAUCUGAAUGCAGCCCUCAGAAAAGAUGCUGUUUAGGUGAACAGAUCUUUCAUUAUGACUUUGUGUUGAUACGCACCGGUGCAGUCCUGACAAAAAAGUGGAGGGUCAUGCAUGGAGAACGAUUAAAGUGGUGGUGGGUAUUUAUCUGAUGCUUUUGACUGAGAUGUGAGAAUGCUUUCAUUUGCUUUCACAACUUGGGACAUCUGAAGACACUGCCAAGUGUAUCAAAAGUAAAGAAGCCAGAUGAUUUAGAUGGACAGCCAAACCAGUUUGACUUUGUUUAAUUAAUCUGUACUUUAAGUUUACUGACCUGAGAGUCUUUGUGGAGGGGACAUGGCAGCUUCACCUCCAAAACAGUUUACCAUUAGCAUACUGAAUACUUUAAAUAUCCUACAUCAACAUUAAGUUGCAGUGUUUUCAUAGGUAGAGAGAGAAAUAUAUUGCACUUUGCCAAAUGUUGUUUUGUAUUAGGUUUGCAUUUUUUUAUAAUGUCUGUAACAUUGAUCAUCAUGUGAUGAAGUGACUGUAACUGUGGAUGAUUAAUUAAAUUGCAUCUGUGAGUUAA